rnacentral:piRNA from 1 species
UUACCAAAGUCGGUCAACUGUGGAUGGG